rnacentral:snRNA from 1 species
GUCCCUCCAAGGACAUCCGAUAAAAUUGGAAUGAUACAGAGAUGAUUAGCAUGGCCCUUGCGCAAGGAUGAAACGCAUCAAAUUCUUGGGACAUGUCAUU